UACGUAGGGUGCAAGCGUUGUCCGGAUUUACUGGGCGUAAAGCGCGUGUAGGCGGCUACGCAGGUCCGUUGUGAAAACUGGAGGCUUAACCUCCAGACGUCGACGGAAACCGUGUGGCUAGAGUCCGGAAGAGGAGAGUUGAAUUCCUGGUGUAGCGGUGAAAUGCGCAGAUAUCAGGAAGAACACCAAUGGCGAAGGCAGCUCUCUGGGACGGUACUGACGCUGAGACGCGAAAGCGUGGGGAGCGAACAGG
rnacentral:rRNA from 1 species